rnacentral:misc_RNA from 1 species
AUGGUCAUAGGUAUUAUGGUGGUGAUCGGAGGUUUGAGAUUGUAAGCGGGAAGAGUUUUGCCGCCGGUGGUAACCAGAUCUACUCGACUCGUCCUCACUCGCCCGAUCGGNNNUCCGCCUCGCACGACCAGGCAGAGUCGGACCACGUCAACGCCCUGGGGUUUUAGUGAUCCAGAGAUGAAGCGAAAGAAGAGGAUUGCCAAGUACAAGGUUUA